rnacentral:lncRNA from 1 species
UUAACCUCAGUCAGAUAUUUUGGAAAGGGGCAGAAAGGUGCACAUUAUUAUUAUAUAAAGGUGUACAAAAAUAUCACAAGAAGAGUCUCUUGACCAGGUGAUAAGGUUCUUCUCCUCUGAAAAGUUUUGAGUCAUCCAGACCCAUAAAGUUCAAAUCAUGCCCAGCACCACUGUCUUCCAUGAUCCAAUUGUUAUUGCCUAUUGAGCUAAAGGUGAAGUAUUUACUACUUUCCGAACCCAAAGUCCAAAAGUACACAUUCCUUCAACAACAACAACAAUUGGUCUCACCUAUCAGAGAAGACUUCAGUCUGAUCAAUUACUUUCUUAAUAAGGGUUUCUACUUCUGUGAAGAUACAGCACAACCAAGAAAACUCUUAUAAAGGAAAACAUUUAAUUGGCACUGAUUUGCCAUUUCAGAGGUUUUGUCCACUACCAUCAUAGCAGGAAGCAUGAAUGUGUAUAGACUGACAUGGUGUUAGAGAAGGAACUGAGAGUCGAUAUCUGGAUCUGCAAAUAGCAGAAGAGAAUGUCAGACAGUAGGCCUUGCUUAAGCUUCUGAGGGCUCACAGCCCACCACCUACUGACUCACUGACUCACUUCUUCCAAAAAGUCACAUCUACUCCAACAAGGUCACACUUCCAAAUAUUGCUACUCCCUAUGUACCUAUGGGGAUCACUUUUAUUCAAACCAUCACUGGUGGCAGUAGUAGGAUAAUGAGAAAUAGUCACAAAUUCCAUCUACCUUAUAUCCUUUGAAAUAUACCAGUCAUCCUGGAUGUUUACUUAUGUUGCUUAGAAUGGUAAUAUAUAUAAUAUGGAAUGGUUCUCAUUGAUCAUGGUGUACUAAUCCAGGUUUAUUCAAAGCAAAGGAACACUUUAGUAAUCUUAAGAGAACAAUAAAGUAAAUUAUAGAAAUAGAAAUUGACUAUUUUUAAUAUAUCAGCGGAAAGGUUUCUCAAUUGUUUAUGAGUGCUGUCACCUAGAAUAGAUAAACAAAAACCAGGGAGUGAUGAUUUCACUCAAAGAAGACGUGUAUGCAUCCUGGACAGAGUGCUAUAUCAUGGGUUGACUUUAAGAACAGGGGACCUUCAGUUAACCAGCUUAACCAGUUCAAACCAAUAUCAUGCUAUUUAACCAAAUGAAAUCAAAAUCCCAGCCUUGCUAUUCUCCUUCACCCCAUCAUCCUAUUAGAUUUUGCAGAUGUUAAGGGAAUUUGGUGGUAGAGUUCAAAACUUUAAAACAGUAAAUAUUCCUAAGAAAAUCCUGGGGGGGGGUAUUUUUAAGCAAUGUAUCUUUAUUUUUGCAGAUUAUGUAGGAUAUGAGAAUCUGCUUUUUGUUUUAGGAAGUGACACACUAGUUUAGCAAAGUUAUAGCCAGUUCAGACUAAUCUUGGAAGAGAUCAAGGACAAAAAAUACAGAGAAUCAGUAAGGACAGGAUAGCAAAUAGAACACUGAUGUGAUUUAAGUAGUGCUUUGAUCCUUGAGUAGACAUGCAAAGAGCUGAAUAAAUUUUUAUUAACUGAAACCAUCAAAGCACAUCUAUAUUUGUUUUGCUUUAAACAAGAAUUCAGGUUUUGUUACAAAGUGUUCAAAUGAAAAAAAUGUGUGUUUAGAAUAAAAAGCAAGAUCUUAGGGAUUAAGCAAUGGUUCCGCUUACUAUUUUAAUUUUCUUUUAUUCUUAAAUAUGUAAUUCUUUAUUACAUUGCUGAAGAUUGAACUAUUAGAAUAGACUGCACCGUCUAAUGCUUGCAGACAAGCUGUAAUAUAGUCACUAUUCUUCAAACAAUUGUUGCUUUUUCAUGCUUUUAGACAUCAUAGUGGACAUAUAUAUUCUUUAAGUAGUAUACAGAAAAUUAGGUAAUGGGAUAUUAGUUUACCUUGAGUAAGAAAAUACUAACAUAACCAAUUUCAUGUAAAAUCCCACUGAAAUUUACUAACAGAGAACAGCAAUUAUAAAUAAAAUAAACAAUCAGUAAAUCAUCAGUUUUCAAAAAAGAGCUUAAAACAUACUAAAUAUAAUUACAAUAUUACAUUGUAAAGCACAGUUAAUAGUUACUUAAUUUGGAGCUCUUGGAAAAUAUAAUUAAAUUGAAAGGUUGAAACAUUUCUAAAGUGUAAAAAGUAUCUGUAAGCUCUAGCAAUGAUAAUUUCCCAUAUGGUAAAUUUAUUAUACCACCUAUAAGGACACCUAAAGAGAAUAAGAAAUCUCACAUUUUACAUAAAAUCCUGACAUUUUACAGCACACCGUAGCUGUGAGACCUGCUAUGCCAAGUGUAGAGAAUACAUCUGUUGUUAUGUAAGCAAAUGUUAGGGAUUCCUGAAUUUGUUCCCUUUUGAGGAAGAAAGGAUAUUCAGAGAUAAAUUUAAGAAUAUUUUCCCAUAAUUGAUCAUGUGAACUUUCAGCCAUUUAUUAAACUGAAUACUGUCUCCUACACAAAAGUAACACAUUUAAUUCUUACAGGACCUAUAAACUUUAACCAAUAUUCCUUAUCUAUAUUUAAUAAAGUUGAAAACUUUCUUAUAAUACUCAACAUUGUUUUCAGUUCUGAAAAUGAAAAUCUUCUACACACUAGUUAUUCUGAAGAGGAUAAAGUUUAGAGUUUCCAUCUUAUUUUAUAAUGGAGUAUUUAGCUUUAGGUUCUUAAAGGCCUUCCAUGAUGUAGCUUGAAUCAUGUUAAGUAGCUGUUCUUCUCUGAUGUGCACAUUUCCAUGCAUUUCUACUUCACUGUUCCUUUUUGUUUAUGGUUAGUGAAGGUUUCUAACUUGGUGUAAUAGUGAAAUUUGCACUACAAAUCUGAAAGUAAAUAGUGAUGAAUUAUGUAUAAAAUAUUUUUACUUUAAAAGGAAUAAUUUAAAAUUAUUAAGACAUGAUGUAACAAAAAUAGAAUUUACUUAGGAAUGAGAAAUUAAAAUUUUCUGGCAUUGAUGGAAAUGAACAUUCCACAUGUAAGCUUGCAUAACAGAAAAGACAAGAUUUAAAAUCUAAGAAACACACUGACAUGUCUGAACCAUGUCAUGCAACUAUAGCUUUCAGCAAAGCACAUAAAAUUUUUUUAAAUAAGUAUGGAGUAAAUAUAUGUCUUAUAAUUUAGUUGUUUGUAUAAUUUCACAUUUGAAAUCUUGAAUUUUAUGUCUUUCUAACAUGUACGACCCAACAAAUUUAAUUGUAUCUGAACAUACUUAGUUGUACCUUCCUCACAUUUCAUUUCAAUGAUGCCCAAUAUUACUUCUGUGUAUACCAAUUCUACUUAAUUUAUUUUUAUUUUUAGCACAUUUUGAAAUGAUCCAUGCAUGCCUUUUUAGGAUAAUGAUGAAUUUUUCUUAGACUUCUCUUACAUAUUCUAGAAACUUUUAAAUUAGUGCUUACUCCAUGAUAAUAUGUAUACUAAAGAAAAAACCUAUAAAGAAAAUAUCAUUACUUAAAAUUUUAUAUUAUUUUUAUAUUAUUACUCCAAUACUAACCUAUGGAUGAUGGGGGAAAUUGUGAGAUAUUGUUCCCGGUAUCCUGGAAACCUUACUUCAGCUCUUUUUCUAAGGUGUAUACAGACAACAUAAUCACUUAGAGGUCCUCAUAGGGAAUAUGUUCCAACAACUUUCUUGAUUCAGCCAAAAGAUCUAAAGAAACAAUUUAAACAUUAAUAUUUGUAGACCUGAAUUCAGGGAGUCACUGCAAAUCACCAAAUCCGGUUCUCUUAUUGCAGCUGAAUAUUUUAAAUCCCCCAUAGAAAUUUUAAUUGCUAGAGUAGAACUGAAGAUUCUGAUUGCAUUAGAUUUGCCAUAUUACAUUGGUCUGAAUUCUGUUUCCAAACAGUUAACACUAAACAGAUGAAUUUCUUAAGGCAGAAUGGAAACAUUAAGCAAUGACUUACGUGUUUGCAAGAUUUGAUUGCAGGUGUCUAGCUCCCAGUCCAGUCAGAGAAGCACCACAAAUAUUUAAAACUACCCUUUGACAGAACAAAAGUUGUUCAGAUUUCAAUUUCGUCAUUUUUGUCUAAGGAAAGCAAUUAUUUAAAGAUUUUUAGGUAAAGAGUUGUUUAGUCUACAAAGAAAAAGCCUACAAUUUUGUGUGAUAAGAAAACAAUAACUGUAAAAAUAAUUUCUGUAGGAAGUUACAGAAUACAUGUUUGCUUUCACCAUAAUAUGUGGGAUGUCAGCAGCUGUUGCUUGAGUAUUUAGACCCGCACAGUUUACAUUGGGCAAAGGUUUUUAAUUGAAAAUUACAUGCAUACAAUGUGUUUUGUUCAAAACCAAAUCCGUAAUUACCCCUAUUUCAAUUCUACCCCUAAUCUCCUUCCAACAUUUUCCCUCCAAACUUAUAACUUAUUUAACACCUUGCAAAUUAAUGCACUACCAAAAUCCUCAAAAUCAAACUUUUAAGUUAUGAAUGUUUCAAUUAUUAAAAAUGAAUGACGUGAUCUUUUUUAAUAUAAUGCAUUUCUUGAAUAAAAGAUAAAGUUAGUGCCAGGUAGUGGUGGUGGAAACCUUUAAUCCCAGCACAUGGGAGGCAGUGGCAGGCAGAUUUUUGGGUUCCAGGACAGUAAGGAGAAUACAGAGAAAAAUGCUGUCUUGAAAAAUC